AAGUCGUAACAAGGUUUCCGUAGGUGAACCUGCGGAAGGAUCAUUAACACGUAUCCAAACGUUAAACCCCCCUGUGAACCUUCAGUGUACUCGUACGUCCGUUAGAAAAAGCAGCAAUCCCUGGUAAAUCAUCGCCGAACAGUUUUCGAUUCAGGGACGUCUGCAAGGAGCGUGCAUGUUGUGCGAAGCAAGUGGCCUGGCAUCCCCAAGCAGUUAGUGUCUGAAAGUGUCAUUAACUGUGUAAGGAUGACGCAGUCACGAUCGUUGGAGGCCCACACGGCCGACGACCGGGUCACUGGGCGCAAGCCCCCCUAUAACAAACCCCCUGCCAAUCGCGGCCGCGAUAAUACGCAGUCGACCAAAAACCGAACAACUGUUAACAAUGGAUAUCUUGGUUCUC
rnacentral:misc_RNA from 1 species